UACCGGUUGCCAACAAAUUAUAUUUGGAACUGCAUUCAAAUUUAAGACCUUAACUCUUACCUAUGACUUUUCCCUGGCAUUAAUUAAGCCCUAUGGAUCUUUAAAAAUCAGGGCUUUUGGCUAAAAGGCCAGCAUUUUAUUUUUUGUCUUUUUACCAUGUUAUCUUUCAUAUUGCUCUCAAUCACUUGCUUGAUCCCUUUUGAAUAAUUUUUCUCACUAGAUACACUUGAAACAGAAAAGGCACAAAAAGUGCAAUCCUUUAAAUAAUAAGAGAUUUCUUCAAAAGUUGAGCAAAAGCAGGAACAUGCUCAAAACAAAAUUGAAGGUUUUUUUGUUUUGUUUUUGUUUUUGAGACAGAGUCUUGCUGUGUCACCCAGGCUGGAGUGCAGUGUUGCAAUUUGGGCUCACCACAACCUACACCUCCCAGGUUCAAGCAAUUCUUCUGCCUCACCCUCAGCUGGGAUUACAAAAUUAGUAUGCUGAAAAUACUUUCCAACAGAUGAAAGUCAAGUAUCUUGAGGAAGAGGUGCCUUUUUCUACUUCACACAAUGGCAAUAUGUGGGCUAAUGCUAACCUGAGGGGUUAACCUAAGUCAGUGUUAGAGACUGAAUGUUUAUGUCCCUUAUACUGAUGUGAAACCUAAUUCCUAAUGAGGCAAUAUUAUAAGGUGGCACCUUUGGGGGUGAUUAGAUCAAGAGAGUGGAACCUCCAUGUUUGAGAUUAGUGCCCUUAUAAAAAAGACCCCAGAGAGAUCCCUGGCUCUUUCUGCCAUGUGAAGAAACAGUGAAAAGACAGCCAUCCAUGAAUCAAGAUGAAGGCCCUCACCAGACAUGGAAUCUACUGGAGCUGUGAUCUCGGACUUUCCAGCCUCCAGAACUGUAAAAAAUUUCUGUUACUUCUAUGCCAGUUAAUCUACAAUUUUCUGUAGUAGUAGCCUGUACUGACUUAAGAUUAUCAGAAUAAGUAGAAUAUGAUACAGGAUUUAAUAAUAAUGGAAGUGAUGGAGGAAUCAAAUGAAGAAAUUACAUUUACCUGUGAAUAUUUGCAAAGGUUUUAGUGAAAUGUGUCAUUGAGGUAGGUUUUAAAGAUGGACAGAUUUUUUUUGUCCCAGGAGUGAAUGGUAGCAUGGGAAUUCCAAGAGAAGAAUACAACCUGAAUCAACAUUUGUAAUUGGGACAGUCCUUCAAGUCAGUUGAGUGAUCUCAAACUAACCAGACAAAAAAAAAAUUUUUCAAGGUAAUUUAGAUCCAAAUGGUGGGCAUCUAGAAUUUCAAACUAAGAAGUUUUAGUUUUGGAAGUGCAUUUGAAAUUUUAAAGCCAUAUUUUCUGCCAAAAAGAGGAUUGUGCUCACAUGAAAAUAGAGACCUCAUAGACAACACAAGAGCAGAGUUCGUGUCUGUUUUCUUCACCAUUGAACUUCAGGGCUUGUUACAGCACCAAGCACAGUUUAGCACUCAUUUUCUUUUCUGUUUGGGAACUAGAAGCUGAGUUUAUGCCAUUGUCCUUAAUUAUUCUACCACAAGACACGCCUGUUGAAAUAUCUUCAGCACACACAACUAAGCCAAUGCCCAAACCAUCUCGAGUCAUUUUUGUUUGAUAUAAAACAAUUUUUGUAUCCUUUCCUCUGGUAAAACCUCUUGCCAGAUUAAAAUGCUAAGAAACAAAAUUAAUGAUAAGGAGAACAUAAUUAGAAAAAUUGUUGACAAAAGGCUAGAACAUGAGAAACUUGCUUACUAGUGUGGUUCUCAUUCUGUCACAAAGCUGUGAAUCAGAAGCAGAAAAUGGUACUCAAAGUGAGACCAAGGCAGAAAAGAAACUGCAGUUGAAUGAAAUGAGAUAUUUUAGUGAAGAGGUCCAUUUUAUUUCAGCCUCAAGAUUGCGCAUCCCUGAAUAGAAAGGGUGCUCACUCACUGGCACCCUUCCGUCUUCUGGGAAUCCUGGCAAAUCAAUGAGAGGACAAGUGUGGUGGGGCAGCAAGGAUAACUGGCUUGAAUCUCUACCUGAUGAGGACCGAAGCACUAGAUGAAACAGAUCAAGAGCACUAACUGUGAGGUCUCUAUUUAUAAAACAAUCAACAGAGAGAGAUGGUAGAGAAAGUGUCACAGUAAAUGUCAAACAAUCUGUCUUACAUCAUCAUGUAGAGACAAAUUCCAGGCUCUCUUAAGCUCCUCUCAAAUAUUUCUACAUGAGAGUACUACAUGGCCCACACAUAAGUCCCAUAUCAAACCAAGUUUAGGAUCCUUGACCACUAAAGAAUUCCCUGUUCUCCAACUCCAGUCUUCUGCAAAGGUCUCCUCUGUUGAUGGCCAAUUCCUGAUGCAGCAGCUAUGCUCCAGUGACCACAAAGGUGGCUACUGCUGCCAAUCCACACCAAAGGGACAGCCACAGCUACCUGUCCCUAGUAAUAUAUCUCUGAGCAUGCUGAUGCCAGACAUUGAUGGCAUUGUCAUCUGACCCAAGGGCACAAUCUCUUGUUAUUGCCAAUGAUUCCAGCAUAGAACCUUUCCAUUGCGUCAACUAUGAGAUUAUUGAAAUCUCAUGUUCCUGCAUCUGACAGAUUUUUAUGGGGGGAGGGGAAUAUAUCUCUGCUUAUCAUAUUUAUUUGCCUUUUUGCUGACUUUUUCACAUAGGACUCAAAUUCGAACUUAUGGUGACAUUCCAAGUGACAGACAAUGCAGUGAGUUUAGAAUCUUUUCCUUCCCAAACCAAACUUUUGAAUUUCAACUCACUUCCCUUAGGUUGAAUUAUCUCCUAGGAGGCUCCUCACUUCAUUCUGAAAUUCCUAUUGAGAUGCCUCAUCCCCUAGACAGGGCUGAUACUCAGCUGGUAUGUGCCUAGGUAGGUGUGCCAUCUGUCCACAGCUGGCACCCAUUAUGAUUGAUUGGUGUUAAAUAUUCUGGCUAGUCCCCGAUCUCCAGGUCUCCCUCAACACUAGGGUAAACACAGUGAAGGCUUACAGAAUGCUACUUUUAAAAAUAUUGAAGGAAAGUGUUUUCCAUGCCUUCAUUUCUUAAUAGUGGGGAAAAUAUAAGAUUGCUACAUCAUAUUAAAGGUAUUGACAGUCUUCCAGUGUUUGUCACUUACAGAUAAAUACACUGCGGUAUAGUUCAGAAUAUGACAAAACUGAUUCCUUCUGAUACUGAAGCAUGGCCUAAAGGUUUGGGUGGUUUGUCAGGUAAAAACUACUAAUUGUGUCUCAGCACCCACUCUCAUCUUUUUUUUUUUUUUUUUUUGGGUCACAGAAUUCCUGAAUUUUAUCUGAGCACAUAGACAACCUGGCUAGAGACCACAUUUUCCAGCCAGGAGUGGACAUGUAAUUAGAAUAGAAUGUGAGAUGGAGCUAUAUAUACUACCUGGGUCACAUCAUUUAGGAAUGAGGUUGCUUGCACUCCACGGUGCAGCCUGGGCUUGACAAAUGUGGUGCUAAUGAGCCAGCUUCAAGCUGGGAUGGUAAAGUAACAAGACAGAAAAAACCGGGUCACUGGUCACCCUCACUGUGGACCUAUUCUGGAUUGUUGAAAGAGAAAUAAACUCCCAUCUUGUAUGAGUUUGACUUGUUAA